rnacentral:rRNA from 1 species
UACGGGGGGGGCAAGCGUUGUUCGGAAUUACUGGGCGUAAAGGGCUCGUAGGCGGCCAACUAAGUCAGACGUGAAAUCCCUCGGCUUAACCGGGGAACUGCGUCUGAUACUGGAUGGCUUGAGUUCGGGAGAGGGAUGCGGAAUUCCAGGUGUAGCGGUGAAAUGCGUAGAUAUCUGGAGGAAUACCUAUGGCGAAAGCAGGCUACUGGACCAUCACUGACGCUGAUCUGCGAAAGCUAGGGGAGCAAACAGG